rnacentral:misc_RNA from 1 species
UUUCCGUAGGUGAACCUGCGGAAGGAUCAUUACUGAGUGCGGACCCUCUGGGUCUAACCUCCCACCCGUGUAUACCGUACCUUGUUGCUUCGGCAGGCCCGCCAAUCUGGCCGCCGGGGGGCACCUAGCCCCCCAGUCUGUGCCUGCCGGAGACACCAUUGAACGCUGUCUGAAGAUUGUAGUCUGAGCGAAAAGCAUAAAUUAGUCAAAACUUUCAACAACGGAUCUCUUGGUUCCG